GUUCCUGGCUCAGGACGAACGCUGGCGGCGUGCCUAACACAUGCAAGUCGAACGGAGAAUUUUAUUUCGGUAGAAUUCUUAGUGGCGAACGGGUGAGUAACGCGUAGGCAACCUGCCCUUUAGACGGGGACAACAUUCCGAAAGGAGUGCUAAUACCGGAUGUGAUCAUCGUGCCGCAUGGCAGGAUGAAGAAAGAUGGCCUCUACAAGUAAGCUAUCGCUAAAGGAUGGGCCUGCGUCUGAUUAG
rnacentral:rRNA from 1 species